AACGAACGCUGGCGGCAUGCCUAACACAUGCAAGUCGAACGGGAUCCUGGCUUCGGUCAGGUGAGAGUGGCGGACGGGUGAGUAACGCGUGGGAACCUGCCCAGUGGUGGGGGAUAACUGCGGGAAACUGCAGCUAAUACCGCAUGAGCCCGAGAGGGGAAAGAUUUAUCGCCAUUGGAGGGGCCCGCGUUCGAUUAGGUAGUUGGUGAGGUAAUGGCUCACCAAGCCGACGAUCGAUAGCUGGUCUGAGAGGAUGAUCAGCCACACUGGGACUGAGAUACGGCCCAGACUCCUACGGGAGGCAGCAGUGGGGAAUAUUGGACAAUGGGGGCAACCCUGAUCCAGCAAUGCCGCGUGAGUGAUGAAGGCCUUCGGGUUGUAAAGCUCUUUUGCCAGGGACGAUGAUGACGGUACCUGGAGAAUAAGCCCCGGCUAACUUCGUGC
rnacentral:rRNA from 1 species